rnacentral:rRNA from 1 species
CGGGAAUAUUGCGCAAUGGAGGAAACUCUGACGCAGUGACGCCGCGUAUAGGAAGAAGGUUUUCGGAUUGUAAACUAUUGUCGUGAGGGAAGAAAUUGACAGUACCGCAGGAGGAAGCUCCGGCUAACUAUGUGCCAGCAGCCGCGGUAAUACAUAGGGAGCAAGCGUUAUCCGGAUUUAUUGGGUGUAAAGGGUGCGUAGACGGGAAAUUAAGUUAGUUGUGAAAUCCCUCGGCUUAACUGAGGAACUGCAACUAAAACUGAUUUUCUUGAGUACUGGAGAGGAAAGUGGAAUUCCUAGUGUAGCGGUGAAAUGCGUAGAUAUUAGGAGGAACACCAGUGGCGAAGGCGACUUUCUGGACAGUAACUGACGUUGAGGCACGAAAGUGUGGGGAGCAAACAGG